rnacentral:rRNA from 1 species
AAUCGUGAGAGACCACCGGGAUUGCCUUAGUAACGGCGAGUGAAGCGGCAACAGCCCAAAUUUGAAAUCUGGCCCCCGGGUCCGAGUUGUAAUUUGCAGAGGAUGCCUCGGCGUAAGCCCCGAUCGAAGUUCCUUGGAACAGUGACAUCGUAGAGGGUGAGAAUCCCGUCCGUGGUCGGUGGCGGCUGCCGUGUGAGGCUCCUUCGACGAGUCGAGUUGUUUGGGAAUGCAGCUCUAAAUGGGAGGUAAAUUCUUCCAAGGCUAAAUAUCAGCCAGAGACCGAUAGCGCACAAGUAGAGUGAUCGAAAGGUGAAAAGCACUUUGAAAAGAGGGUUAAACAGCACGUGAAAUUGUUGAAAGGGAAGCGCUUGCAACCAGAGUUGCCCGGGCGGUUCAGCCGGCUUCUGGCCCGGUGUACUUCCGUUCGGGCAGGCCAGCAUCAGUUCGGCCGGCCGGACAAAGGCCGUGGGAAUGUAGCACCCUCGGGUGUGUUAUAGCCCGCGGCACAAUACGGCCUGGCUGGACUGAGGUCCGCGCCUCGGCAAGGAUGCUGGCGUAAUGGUUGUCAGCGGCCCGUCUUGAAACACGGACCAAGGAGUCUAACAUCUGUGCGAGUGUUCGGGUGUCAAACCCGUGAGCGUAAUGAAAGUGAACGGAGGUGGGAGCCCUCGGGCGCACCAUCGACCGAUCCUGAUGUCCUCGGAUGGAUUUGAGUAUGAGCAUAGCUGUUGGGACCCGAAAGAUGGUGAACUAUGCGUGAAUAGGGUGAAGCCAGAGGAAACUCUGGUGGAGGCUCGCAGCGGUUCUGACGUGCAAAUCGAUCGUCAAAUUUGCGCAUAGGGGCGAAAGACUAAUCGAACCAUCGCUACUAGGUGGUUGGGAGGCCGGGAGCCCCUUUCUAGGGGCCUUCCAAGGCCUAGUCGAGGGGUGCAUGGGGCCCGUAGGUCCCUCCUCCCCACGGCAACGCCGGUCAGAUGCGGGGACUCCCCGGCAGCCCGCGACUACCGCCCCCCGCCAUGAAAGUGGUGGCGGGCACCGGCCUAGUGCGCCGGGCAUGGUAACAACGUCGCGGGCGGGGUAACCCGCAGCCGGGCCCUACGGCCGCCCAGGGGGGUGGCUAGGGGCUCGGUUCACGGACUAGACGCCGGCGGGCCCUCCGGGGUCAGAGGUAUAGUCGUGGCCAUCCCCGAGAGGGGGGCCUCACCAGGCGAGCCGAGCCGUGU